GCGGCCGUGGCGGAACUGGCAGACGCGCUAUCUUCAGGCGGUAGUACCCUUGGUGUGUGGGUUCGAGUCCCAUCGGCCGCACCA
rnacentral:tRNA from 1 species